ensembl:lncRNA
CACAGGAUUCCUGCCUGACGCAAGCUCCUAGCACGGCUGAAGUCAAGUGAUGGCACCGUGGCGCUUCAGCUGAUUCUACCAGCAGACACUGAAAGAGCUCUGAUAGUUUGGUUUCCCAGAGACUAUGGGUUGAGGAGGAAUUGGAAGUUUGUCGGCUUAGACCUGGUGUCAUUCCAUCAGUGUUAAACUUCCUGGCUCAUCUUGGAAGAGUACGUGCCAGAAAGACCACGACCAAGCAGCCUUGAGAUCUUAGGCAGCGUCUCCCUGAGACUCUUCACAACCUGCUCAAACUCUUGGUACAGGACCUCACCACACGGGUCAAGAAGGUUUCUGUCUCAUUUCUACUCUGAAGCUCACCUUCUCCUGCUCAAACUGCUGACAAAUGUUUCUGCUGCUCUAAAGUCUGGUCUCCAGAACUUCCUAAAAACUCUCAAAGUCUCUUCUGCUGCAGGUUGCUUUGUAGAACUGUUGCAGAAAACCUCACUAAACCACAUGGAGGAGCCUCAAGAUAGUCAUCCAAAUGAAACUGUACAAAAACCAAACUAGCACAACCCAAACGCUGAAGUCUCCUGCAGCCUACCAGAGAACCUCUGAGAACAGAGAAUCAGGACAGGAACUCUUACCUUCUGGACAAUCAACAUCGGUUCUCAAACAAGAACACAGAAUGUGUCUGACCAAAAACCUCUAAAGACUCACUACAGCCAAGAUAAAGACACAACUCAGCUGCACCAAAUCCACUAAUCACUGCACACAUUAGCACCAUGUGCUAACUGUGGCUAAAGAACCACCUUUACCAAGACAACUAUCCAGUACAAAGCCCUAAAACACACCAAGAAACACAUUAAAGACAAUUUUACUGCUGGAAGCUGCAAGCCAAUGCCUAAAGAACAAACUAAAGCAAAGGAGCCAAACCCAGUUCUGUGGUGAAGAGAAGCAGAGGAAAUGUUUGUCUGCAGCUAAAUAAAGCAGGAAGACACUGAGCUGCUCAGGUGUUCCUGAUAACACCAAGCAGCCACCUGGACAGCCAAUAGGAACACAGCUUACUGGAAGUCCAGAGGGCUGGGUUAGUGAAGGAAAUUUAGUUUAAAGUUGAAGCAGAAAGUUAAUAAAGAAAGUU